rnacentral:rRNA from 1 species
AUGCUUCAUGCUUCAUCCUAUAACAUUCAGUUAUCCUCAUCUUGUAAGCGAGACACCCUACUUUUCCUUGUUGAUCUCACACAUAUGCUCAUUGUGUUUGUGUUUUCGCCGUACAUGCUUUUUAAUGGUUGCUAUCAUGUUUAUUUACUGCAAAUACUCCACCUCUUUUCCAGUUGGGCAUGUUUUUUGAUCGAGAACAAUUUUCUGCAAGUCUGGGCAGCACUAAAACUUCUCCCCAAUCAUGCUUGUCUGAUUUUGUUUGCAAGGGAUAACUUGCAGAGCAUGUCUGAAGAAACGCAAGAAAAGGAGUGA